UGGCGAACGGCGCACACACCGGCUUGGUGAUUGACGGCGGCUAUAAAAGACAGCUAGGACGCCACGGUAGUAGGUUUGUGGGCAUAGUCAUCCGCAUCUGGUUGCGUCGUGCACCCCUGGCUCGGUACCAUUUCAGGGUCCCGGUGACUCAUUGCCACACGAGUGGAACGCCCUACAAAGAUAGAAGGAUACUGAUUUUAGCUGCUACCAGCGGUUGGCGUGGAGGCCCCACAGUGGCGCCAACAGACAGGAUUGGGCGUGGUGUGGGGUGGCCCAGCACUGCUUCGUUUGUAUUGGUUUUAUCUUUUAUCGAUUAUACAUAGGUUGCUGUGGUUUUUCUUAAGCUUAAUUUAUUUGGUUU